UUUCUAUGUCAGUAUGUAAUAAAUGUAAUAAUGACACUUUCUAGGAUUACACAAGAAAUUUAUGAUGCUCCUUACUGUGACAAGUGGCAAGUUAAUACUAUGGAUACAGUUAUUGCCGGGCAUAGUCAUGCAAAGCUCCAGACUGAUUGGCACUACCAGGGUAUGGAAAAAAAGAGGUCCUCAACCUCUUUAAUGCCAAAACACUAACACAGGUGGUUGUAACCAGCUGUGCCAAACCUGUCCCCUUGGCCAAAAUGAUCCCGAGCUGGUUUGGUUGUUGGCUCCUUGUAACCGAGGGGAAAAAAACAGUUUGAAAAUCUAAUUGUUCAGGACAAAGGAUGUGAGCCAGUUAGCCAGGAGCAGUCUACAAAGUCACAAAUGCAGAAAGUGCUGUGUUCUUCGAGAAACAAAAGCUUUCAUACAGACAAUAACAGGCCUACAAGACUAUCUGUGGAGGCAACACUACCUCAUCAAAUGUUCUUUUUAAAAAAACAAAAUACCUCAUAGACAUAAAAAUGCAGUUGAAGGGAUUGUACACCAGA